CGGGAAAGAGCACCGAAGAGACGGCGCACCUUUACCGGACCUCGCGCUGUGUGGAAGCCACGCUGAACUAUAAAUCUGGGCUCUGCACCCUUCAUCCUGAAGAAGGGUUGUUCUCCAGAUACGAAGAUGCACAAGCUCCAGUGAAGGAUGAAGAGGAGGAGCUGGGGAGGCCCAUGUUGACCAUCUUUCCUUCAAAGCAUCAAGUGCAGAGCUAUGCCACGUUGUCCAUCUCUGCCCCUGCUGUCCUCACCAACUGGACCUUUGUAGACAGGAAGGAAACUGUUUGUGUUGGACCACAAGCGAUGGAGCAGCUUUCCACUUCCUGCUCUAUGAACACAGUGAGCAGAAGGACAUGCUGAAGGAGACAGGAAC